AGUUAUAUAGUUUAAUAAAAACAUUAAUUUUGUAAAUUAAAAAUAAUUAAUAUUUAUAACUA
rnacentral:tRNA from 1 species